rnacentral:rRNA from 1 species
GCUGUCGCUAAGGAUGGACCUGCGAUGCAUUUAGCUAGUUGGUAAGGUAACGGCGUUACCAAGGCGAUGAUGCAUAGCCGAGUUGAGAGACUGAUCGGCCACAUUGGGACUGAGACACGGCCCAAACUCCUACGGGAGGCAGCAGUAGGGAAUCUUCCACAAUGGACGCAAGUCUGAUGGAGCAACGCCGCGUGAGUGAAGAAGGUUUUCGGAUCGUAAAGCUCUGUUGUUGGUGAAGAAGGAUAGAGGUAGUAACUGGCCUUUAUUUGACGGUAAUCAACCAGAAAGUCACGGCUAACUACGUGCCAGCAGCCGCGGUAAAU